UCCGUAGGUGAACCUGCGGAGGGAUCAUUACAGAGUUAUACAACUCCCAUACCAUCUGUUAACCUACCCAGUUAUGCCUCGGCGUAAGCUCGGUUGGAGGCACCUGCAGCUACCCUGUAGUUGCGGACUGCCAACUCCAGCCGCGGCCCGCCGGCGGUACACUAAACUCUGUUUUAUUUUAUAUUCUGAGCGUCUUAUUUUAAUAAGUUAAAACUUUCAACAACGGAUCUCUUGGUUCUGGCAUCGAUGAAGAACGCAGCGAAAUGCGAUAAGUAAUGUGAAUUGCAGAAUUCAGUGAAUCAUCGAAUCUUUGAACGCACAUUGCGCCCAUCAGUAUUCUGGUGGGCAUGCCUGUUCGAGCGUCAUUUCGACCCUUAAGCCUAGCUUAGUGUUGGGAAUCUGCUGUACUGCAGUUCCUUAAAGACAGUGGCGGAGCGGCGGUAGUCCUCUGAGCGUAGUAAUUUAUUUCUCGCUUUUGUCAGGCUCUGUCCUCCCGCCAUAAAACCCCCAAUUUUUUAGUGGUUGACCUCGGAUCAGGUAGGAAUACCCGCUGAACUUAAGCAUAUCAAUAAGCGGAGGA
rnacentral:rRNA from 1 species